rnacentral:tRNA from 1 species
UAGCUCACUGGAAGAGCGUUAGACCUCUACUCUAAAGGGCCUGUUCAAGUCAGGCA